rnacentral:rRNA from 1 species
GACGAACUGUCCUACCGUUGUUCGGAAUCACUGGGCUUAAAGGGCGCGUAGGCGGUCCAACAAGUCAGGGGUGAAAUCCUGCAGCUCAACUGCAGAAGUGCCUUUGAUACUGUUGGUCUUGAGGGAGAUAGGGGUGUGCGGAACUCACAGUGGAGCGGUGAAAUGCGUUGAUAUUGUGAGGAACGCCGGAGGCGAAAGCGGCGCACUGGAUCUCUUCUGACGCUGAGGCGCGAAAGCUAGGGGAGCAAACGGG